rnacentral:lncRNA from 1 species
UUGAAACCACCCAGCAAUACCAUAUCCGCCCAGAGGUGUAUUACAUCCUGAAUUACUACUCAAUUUAUUUUGUAGUAAUCCUCACAUAAACUCAAUGAAUACAGAAACCAAUCCCCGUCUACAUAGCAUAGCAAAAUAUAUCUAACACGAUCUUCAAUGACGAGGGAUAUAGCUUAAUAGCAUAGCAAUGAUAAUAUUCCUAUACAUGCAUAAUUUUCAUAGGGUGACAUAAUACUACAUGCAUAGAAAAUAAUAGGUAAAGGAUGAUCAACAUGUAACUUGCCUUG